UCCUUAAAUUUUUGGAAGAUUUCACCAGU
rnacentral:piRNA from 1 species